GCUGCCAGGCAGGGUAGGAGCCAUUUGCAUAUGCCAGCUGCUCAUGGCUAGUUGUCCUCACACCUGGGACCAGCAGUUACCAAGACUGCCUUUAUCUCAGGGAAUUCCCCUUCCCUUCCUUUCAUGGCAUCAGCUUUUGGUACCAUUCUCUGUUGGUGUGAGGAAAGGAACAUCUGGAAAGUCAACAGUCUUCAAGAACUGGGCAGGAUUGCCUCAUGGCCUGAACAUCAUCAUCGUUUAUUAAACUGCAACUGGAAACUAGAAA